GGAAGGAUCAUUAACGAAUUGUAUGGUCUGGGUUGUCGCUGGCUCUCUCUGGGAGCAUGUGCACGCCUGGUCCAAACUCUUCAUUCCUUAACCUCCUGUGCACCUUUUGUGGACUGCAGAUGGAUAACUGUCGAGGUAACACUCGGUUUUGCAGAUUGCGCCUUACCCGCGCUUUCAGCUCCAUCUGCCUGCAGUUCAUGUCUUUACUACAUACCAUUUAAUAAAACCUAGAAUGCUUAACAGUUGGGACUUUAGUGACCCUUCUUAAACUUUGUACAACUUUCAACAACGGAUCUCUUGGCUCUCGCAUCGAUGAAGAACGCAGCGAAAUGCGAUAAGUAAUGUGAAUUGCAGAUUUCAGUGAAUCAUCGAAUCUUUGAACGCACCUUGCGCCCUGUGGUAUUCUGCAGGGCAUGCCCGUUUGAGUGUUAUUAAAUCAUCAACUCCUAACAUCUUGUGUGUUCAGGUGCUUGGUCAUGAGGGUCUUGCAGGCGCUCUGCCGUCUGCUCCCUUUAAAUCUAUUAGUGAGACUUCCCUUUGCUGACUGUCUCUUGGCGUGAUAGUUAUCUACGUCAAAUUGGACUGGUCUCGUUGGGCUUGCUUCUAAUCGUCUUCGGACAAUCGAUUUGGGGUGCAUAUAUGCACUUCUUUUCAAACCUUUUUAACCUCAAAUCGGGUAGGACUACCCGCUGAACUUAAGCAUAUCAAUAAGCGGAGGAAAAGAAACUAACAAGGAUUCCCCUAGUAACUGCGAGUGAAGAGGGAAAAGCUCAAAUUUAAAAUCUGGCGGUCUUUGGCUGUCCGAGUUGUAAUUUAGAGAAGCGUCACCCGCGCUGGACCGUGUACAAGUCUCCUCGAACGGAGCAUCAUAGAGGGUGAGAAUCCCGUCCAUGACACGGACUACCAGGGCUUUGUGGUGCGCUCUCGACGAGUCGAGUUGUUUGGGAAUGCAGCUCAAAAUGGGUGGUAAAUUCCAUCUAAAGCUAAAUAUAGGCGAGAGACCGAUAGCGAACAAGUACCGUGAGGGAAAGAUGAAAAGAACUUUGGAAAGAGAGUUAAACAGUACGUGAAAUUGUUGAAAGGGAAACGCUUGAAGUCAGUCGCGUCCUUCAGAGAUCAACCUGGCCUUUUCGCUUGGUGCACUCUUUGGAGGACGGGUCAGCAUCAGUUUCGACCGGGGGAAAAAGUUGGUGGGGAUGUGGCACCUUCGGGUGUGUUAUAACCCACUUGCAUAUAUCCUGGUUGGGACUGAGGAACGCAGCACGCCUUAAGGCCGGACUUUUGUUACGUACGUGCUUAGGAUGCUGGCAUAAUGGCUUCAAUCGACCCGUCUUGAAACACGGACCAAGGAGUCUAACAUGCACGCGAGUGUUUGGGUGUAAAACCCGAGCGCGUAAUGAAAGUGAAAGUUGGGACCUCUGUCGUGGAGGGCACCGACGCCCGUACCAGAUGUUUUCGGACGGUUACGAGGUAGAGCGUGUACGUUGGGACCCGAAAGAUGGUGAACUAUGCCUGAAUAGGGUGAAGCCAGAGGAAACUCUGGUGGAGGCUCGUAGCGAUUCUGACGUGCAAAUCGAUCGUCGAAUUUGGGUAUAGGGGCGAAAGACUAAUCGAACCAUCUAGUAGCUGGUUCCUGC
rnacentral:misc_RNA from 1 species